GCUCGCUCGCUCACUCACUGGACGCUUUCUUUCUUUUUGUGGUGUAUAGUACGGAUGUGUUCAGGGCAUCACUUGUCCAGCGGUCAAUAAAAUAACGCGGGCGGGAGGUUGUGAAAGAUCUUUUGCGGUGGGAUUCUUGACAAAUCGUGGAAAUGCGCCACACGCGCUUGAAUGUAAUAAACUUCGAUAUUAACGCGUCAGGUUCUCACGAGCAUAACAGAGAGAAAUGUUAAUAUUUUGGUUUUCAAUCACCUCCGAAUAAAAUAGUCGCAAAGAUGUGGGGAUGGGGGUGGGCGGAGAAGCUGCCAGUCCGCUGAAACGUGCGCGUUUAUUAAGAGUGGCGCACGUCAAAAUAAAGCAAAGGUGGCCGAUUGCCAGCCUUAGAGAAUGAAGCGCCUGGGAUGAAGUUAACCCCACCAGCGACCUGUUUAAAACCCCUGACUAUUUGUCAGCGGUAUCCGAGAUACAGGCAACGUGUGUUGCAGAGUUAUUAUACAAGAUCACAACAUCUUCAAUGUGCCACACCAAUUUGGUCAGACUGCAGAUUUUGCCUCUUCCAGGAGAUUACAUCACUGCAAGUCAGAACAACCCAUGAGACAUGAUGAUGCUAAGUUUUAUCAUGACUGUUUAAACAGAUUUGAUGGACCAGCCAGUUUUUUUCUGCUCUACUUUGUGUACACCCACUGUAUUAAUAAUCCUAAAUUGUAUUCUUUUAAGCUUAUUGCUGAAAAAGUAAAUUGUACAAUUAUAAUAUGCAAUCGCAUAAUUUUAUGCCUUGUGGAACAGGAGUUGGCCAUUCAGCUCCUUGAGCUUACACUGCCUUUCUGUUAGACCAUGGCUGACCUGUACCUGCCUUAGCUCCAGUGUCCUUAUAAUUUUUGCUUGCUGUGCACAAGCAGCUUGUUGCACUGUGUGGUCCCUUUAAGAUUGACAUGCAGCCAUGCACAUCUUAAAGGGAACAUUGUACGUGGCUUGUUCCCUGCACAGUACAUUUGAGCAUUGAGAAACCAUGCACUUGCACACCUUGCAAGGAACUUUGCUUAUUUCUACAAUCCCUUAAUACCCUUACCUAACAAUACUAUAUAGAUCUUGGUUUUGAAAAUUUCAAUUGAUCCAAUUUCAAGAUUGUGCCCACUUGUUCCCCGACCAGCGGAAAUGGUCGCUCUGCAUCAAGUAGCUUGAUUUAGUCAACCUUCAAAACUUGAAGUACAAACCAGCCUUAUGCAACCUGCCUUCAUAAUUUAACCCUUUAAGCCUCUGUAUCCUUUUGGUGACCCUUCCAAUGUGAAUACAUUGGGCUGUAACUUCCUACUGUCAUCAGAAUCAACAAAAAAAUACGUACUUACCUGCCCUGCAAAUUUACGCCAACCAUUCCGAUCCCGAGAGGUGCUUGGGCCCUGCGUCGAAGGACUUCUCACUGGUCCCAGCAAAGGGCAACUCGGGUGAAGCCACGCCCCCAAUGACACAACCAGAGUGGGGAACGCCCUGUGAGGGCAGCAUUUGACACAAGAGUUUUAGAGAGACAAGGUGAAAACCCAAGGACUCUCCAUAAUUUUAAAGAAAAGGGCAACUUGUGACAAUGUGGUGAAGAAGAGGAGUCAAAACUUCACAGAUGAGGAAUUGAAUAUUUUAAAUAAGGUGGAAGAAAGGUGCGUGUACAUCCUCGGGCAAGGAAAAUCUAAGCCUCCAAGGAAACUUUAGACCAUGGCUUGAAACAGGUUGCAGCAGUUCUGAAUGCUAACAGCAUUGUGCCUAGGACAGUGGAUCAGUGCUGUAAGAAACUGAAUGAUUUAAUGCAUUCAGCCAGGGUCUGUAUGUAUCUGAAUACAUAAAGUAAUUUCUGAAACUUAAAAUCCCAGUUUGUGACUUCAAAAAAUUAAGAAGGAUCAGAAAUUUUUGUUCUGUCUACUAAGUUUGAGGUGUCAAAAAUGUAGUUGCCCUGGAAAUACUUUGAACCAGUUAUAUCCAAUCUUGAUAAGACAUUACAGAGGUGUGAAGAAUUUAAUUGCCUUGGAGAUGCAAUGAACUAGUUCCAUUCUGUAUUGAUAAGACAGUACAGUUUCUUUGCUAACUUUUGAGAGGUGUCAAAAAAUAGGUGCCUUGGAGACGCAAUCUUGAUAAGACCAUGCAAUUUCCUUGCUAACUUUGAGAAGUGUCGCAAAAUGCAGUUACCUUGGAGAUGGCUCUGACUUUAUCAUAAGUGUUAUAAUGGAACAAAAAGUCCCCCUGGGUACAAGCUUUCAUCUGCCUCCAGAAGUCGUAAAAUGUGUCACAGGACAAUCAGUUUUUUUAGGCAAAAAAAUUCAAUUUAUUUCUUUAAAUAAAGCUGGUUGAUAAUGCUGGGGAGCGCUCAUGGACUGGAGGGUGGCUGCCGUACAUUAAGGAUCUAACUGAACAGGAGGAGCAUGUAUGGAGGCUGAUGGGUUUCUCCAAACCCAUGAGAAACAGUGGCAUAACAGAUGUGGGGAUAAGCGGAGGUAAAAAAAAUGCUGAGUACUCACGCCAUCAAGAUGGCAGUUAAUUUGUUACCAAAAUUAAUUGUGCUUAUUUUGGUGUCUCAAAUGCUGCAGUCAUAUCAGACGCCAAAGCAAGUGAGUUUGGUGCAGCAGCAGAUUUAACUGAAAGAGGUCAGGAUGUAACGAAGGCGAGUACAUCGCAGCAAUGCAGCAUUGUAGCUGCAGCCAAGGGUGGGGGGGAGGCCUUGCAGGAGGGUGAAAUUUCAGACUUUGCAGGUGAUGCUGUGGAAAGUCCUGUGUUGAUGCUGAAUUUAGUGGUGGUUGGGGAGGGGGAAUAUGGCUGCUGUGAUGGAGGGAGGGCACUCAGAACAUUCAGGAGGUAAGGAGACUGCAGUAUUGGCAGCAGAAUCUCCCCCAACUCCACAACCACACAGGCAACUUGUGGCCCAUGCAGGUGAUGAGUAAGAUGCUGAGUUCUUGCUUGACCGCCUAUAUCAGGAUCUGGUACAGAGGGGUGAAAGAUGUGAGGCCAAUUCACAACAGCAAUACCAGGCCUUAACAGAUGUUUUCCAGCAUCUGCAAAGAUUGACUGAGGUCAGUACUCAGCAUGUACAAACUUCUCAGGCAGAAUGAGCUUAUGCAAUAGCACAGAAUCUGACAGAGACUCAAACUAAAAUUGUAACACCUGCAGCUGCACCCUCUGUCCUGGAGCCACUAAGUUCACAGACAUUUGCUACUAAUAACGUUGCAGCACCUGCACCUUCUGCCCAGCAGCCGGCCCAUUUGGAUAAUCCAGCUGCUGGGCAUGCACCUUAGACACAGGCGGUUACGUCACGGGGAUGAAGCAGAAGGCAUGAGGGUCCCUCCCCUCUACUUCCGACACUGCCUCCUCUACCUCAUCCACUCCGCUUUUCUUCAUGAUGGAUAUUUUCAUUGUUUUUUUCAUUGCUUUUCAUUUAUUGCGCUUUUGACCACUGACUUGACUGUAAACUUUUUUACAUUUGGUUUGUGUUCUUUAUUAGUAUAUUCAUUUAAAAAUGUUCCAGUUGUUUGAGUUAUGUUAUUCCAUUAUAGUUAUCUUCAAUUUAAGAGUUGUGUUUUUGAUGUUGUAAUUACACAUUUAUAGUUUUAUGAAAAACAUUCACAAAAAUCAUGUAAGAAAUACAAAAGCUUAAAUUUUUGACAAUACAGUGACCUUUAACUUAAGCAGCUGCAGUAUGACAUUUUGAAUAAUAACUACCUCAAUGUUUUUACAUUUUACAAAUAAAAUGAAACUUUUGUUUUAACUUUA